rnacentral:miRNA from 1 species
UUCUGGCUCAGUAGGUCUGGGUGGGGCCUGAGAGUUUGUAUUUGUAAGCAGCUCCCAGGGGAGCCCCAGACCAC